rnacentral:tRNA from 1 species
UCCCACAGUCCAGUGGUUAGGACUCUGCACUUCCAGUGCAGGGGACACAGGUUCGAUGCCUGGUAGGGGAA